AGCGAACGCUGGCGGCAGGCCUAACACAUGCAAGUCGAGCGCCCGUAGCAAUACGGGAGCGGCAGACGGGAGAGUAACACGUGGGAACGUGCCCUUCAGUUCGGAACAACCCAGGGAAACUUGGGCUAAUACCGGAUACGCCCUUACGGGGAAAGAUUUAUCGCUGAAGGAGCGGCCCGCGUCUGAUUAGCUAGUUGGUGAGGUAACGGCUCACCAAGGCGACGAUCAGUAGCUGGUCUGAGAGGAUGAUCAGCCUCACUGGGACUGAGACACGGCCCAGACUCCUACGGGAGGCAGCAGUGGGGAAUAUUGGACAAUGGGCGCAAGCCUGAUCCAGCCAUGCCGCGUGGGUGAUGAAGGCCUUAGGGUUGUAAAGCCCUUUCGGCGGGGAAGAUAAUGACGGUACCCGCAGAAGAAGCCCCGGCUAACUUCGUGCCAGCAGCCGCAGUAAAAC
rnacentral:rRNA from 1 species